rnacentral:rRNA from 1 species
CCUACGGGAGGCAGCAGUAGGGAAUCUUUGACAAUGGGCGAAAGCCUGAUGGAGCAACGCCGCGUGCAGGAUGACGGCCUUCGGGUUGUAAACUGCUUUUAUAAGCGAGAAAUAUGAUGGUAACUUAUGAAUAAGGAUCGGCUAACUCCGUGCCAGCAGCCACGGUCAUACGUAGGAUCCGAGCAUUAUCCGGAGCGACUGGGUGUAAAGAGUUGCGUAGGUGGCAUAAUAAGUAGCUAGUGAAAGCUGGUGACUCAACCAUUCAGACUACUAGCUAAACUGUUAAGCUCGAGACCGUUAGGGGUAACUGGAAUUUCUAGUGUAGGAGUGAAAUCCGUAGAGAUUAGAAGGAACACCAAUAGCGUAGGCAGGUUGCUGGGACGGUUCUGACACUAAGGCACGAAAGCGUAGGGAGCAAACGGGAUUAGAUACCCCAGUAGUC